UGGGGAAUAUUGGACAAUGGGCGCAAGCCUGAUCCAGCCAUGCCGCGUGAGUGAUGAAGGCCCUAGGGUUGUAAAGCUCUUUCACCGGAGAAGAUAAUGACGGUAUCCGGAGAAGAAGCCCCGGCUAACUUCGUGCCAGCAGCCGCGGUAAUACGAAGGGGGCUAGCGUUGUUCGGAUUUACUGGGCGUAAAGCGCACGUAGGCGGAUCGAUCAGUCAGGGGUGAAAUCCCAGAGCUCAACUCUGGAACUGCCUUUGAUACUGUCGAUCUGGAGUAUGGAAGAGGUGAGUGGAAUUCCGAGUGUAGAGGUGAAAUUCGUAGAUAUUCGGAGGAACACCAGUGGCGAAGGCGGCUCACUGGUCCAUUACUGACGCUGAGGUGCGAAAGCGUGGGGAGCAAACAG
rnacentral:rRNA from 1 species